UACGUAGGCAGCGAGCGUUGUUCGGAGUUACUGGGCGUAAAGGGUGUGUAGGCGGUUCUUUAAGUUUGGGGUGAAAUCUCCCGGCUCAACUGGGAGGGUGCGCCGAAUACUGAGGGACUAGAGUACGGGAGAGGAAAGUGGAAUUCCUGGUGUAGCGGUGAAAUGCGUAGAUAUCAGGAGGAACACCGGUGGCGAAGGCGGCAUCCUGGACCGGUAUUGACGCUGAGGCGCGAAAGCUAGGGGAGCAAACGGG
rnacentral:rRNA from 1 species